UGGAAAGGGCCCAUAAGCUGAGAUC
rnacentral:piRNA from 1 species